UUCAAAAUUCAAACACGCCUCUAAUCUACACGCCAUUGUCAACCAUUGUCAGAUCUAUCUUUUCUUCAUCUAAUCUACACGCCUCUCUCUCCUUUUCUCUUGCUUUUCCCUCUUUUAUCCUAAAUCUCAGGCUUUUUCCCUCUUUGUGUUGAACACCGAUGAUUUGAAGAAAUCCCUCUCUCUGGUUAUUUUCAACUUAGAGUUUCUUGUCUCCUGUGGUAUGAGCAAGAUCUCACCAGAUCCAACAAUGGCUUGGUCUGUAAUAGUGGUCGAGGCAAGUUCCAACAACCCGAGAACUAGGGUUUUACUUUCAUGUCUGAGGUAAACUCUACUUUGAAUCAACAGAUCUAGGGUUUAAUAUCUCAUGAGAAACCCUAAAUCAAAAAAGAGAAACCCUAAAUCACAAAAGGGGCUUGAAGGAAUUCCGAUCUGAAAUCGCUAUAGGGGGGCUACAAUCGAUUAAUAUUUUUGAGGCUAAACCAGUCCGCCAACCAUAGCCUUUGCCUUGCUUUCAAGCUACUGGAGCCUCUAAAGGAAUAGUUUUCCAUCAUCUCAUGUGCUAAUUUACAUCAGUUGGUUGGUGUUGUUGCUGUUGAAGUUUUGAAGGCCCUGAUAUUAUCCGAGAAGGGAGGACAAAGACAGACGAGCUCCCAGUUGAAGGACUUCUUUUUGAUGAAAAUGAGGGAGAAUACAAUUUGAGGGAUGUAUAUUUAAAGACCAUGGGUCUUGAUGACAAAGACAUGGUGACACUAUCUGGUACAAGAAGCGAAGAUUUAUAAUGUGGAAAAAUAUAAGGAGUUAUGUACAAGAAACGAAUAUUUGAAUCUGGCAACUGCUGCAUCAAGUAAAAUUAGUUUUUUAAUCAGUUUAAUUUAUAUCUGAAAAUUUUAGAUAUGAAAAUUGAACACCAGUUGAGUAAGGGUCAAAGCCUGCACGUUUAGUCUCUAUUCUAUUUUUUUUAGUUAAAUGUUGAGUUUCCUAAGAGGACAUAAAUAGAUCAACUUUCCAUGUUUAAUGUUUCAUGCUGGUUGCUAAAUGACAUUCUGUUUUAUUUAUAUGUAGCAUUUUCUCAUUACAUUUGUUAUCUUCUGUUUUAUUUAUAUGUAGCAUUUUCUCGAAAACAUGCAGCAACAAUAGUGGUUGGGGACUACAGAUCGGCGACAAUGAUGACUUGUGGUGGUGGUGCUUGGCUUAGAACUGUGAAGAUGGUAGACACCGGGUGUAGAAUAGAGACCUGCAUGUGAGAUUAUUCCGUGAAGAGGCGACGGUGGUGACUACCGGCGAUGGAGAUGAUCUCUGGUCACCAGACAAGUGACGAUUGUCAAUGGUAGCAGGUUGGGUUGUGAUUUUGGUAGUAGUGGGUGCUGAUCUAACAAGUUUGGAAUACAAGAGUUAAUAAAAAGAUGAAAUCUUGGACUUGACAGAAAGAUGUAAAGCUGCUUUGAAAUUAGUUAUUGGCUAUGACCAUGGUUUUUAAAAAAAAGUUUGAGGUGUGCUCCUUGAGGUGCGCCUCGAAGUGAGGUGCCCAAAAACGAGUCUUUGGCGGCGCUUCAAGGGGUUAGUUUGUAUGUGCCCCUCAUAGGGCUUAGGCGCUAAAAAAAGCUACACAUCAAGUGCAUCUUAGGGGUUUACCUGUUUGUUUUUUACAUCUCGGUUCACCUCGAGGCGUUUGCCUUGUGAGCGAAGGGAAAACGCCUUGAGAUUUUCUAUUUUAAACCUUGGCUAUGGCUAUGUGGUUUACUGAUUAAAGUUCAAUUUUUUGCAAAAAGUUUGGUCGUAUAAGGGCACAUGAAAACCUUGUGUUGAUAUCUUUUAAUGGUUUAUCAAGAACUGGCAUUGAUGACCCGAGAUACGAUACUUGAGUUUGAUUUUAACGAAUAAUCAAGGUUUAGUUUCGUGGCAUCUUUGCAGCAAACAUGGUUGUUUGAAGUUGUUGUAGAGAUGGAGUUCCCGUUCGUGGUUUCAAGUUGCUAAUAUUUUGUUAUACGGUUGUGGACCAGCUCAAUGUGAAAGCAUAAAAGAGAUGCUGGAGUACUUUAGAAGUCAAGUUGGGUCUAAGGCUGGAGUACUUUAGAGAUGCUGGAGUACUUUAGAAGUCAAUUAAGGACAACCCUUAGGAUAGAAAAAAGGCCAAUGAGUAUUCAGGUUGAAUAUUUUUAAUUUGUUGUAUUUAUGAACACGAACUAUAUUAAGAAAAAAAGAAAGUUAUUUUUGUAUUGUGUAAUCAUCAUCUUCUUAGAGUUUUGGCAUGGUUU